rnacentral:lncRNA from 1 species
AAGAAUAUCACCUAGGUCAUUAAUUGUUCCCAUUUAUUUGGCCAAUUAAUUAAGACCAAAAAUAGAGAUAUUAUCUUUAUUUGAGAAUAUAAACACCAAUUAAAGAUAAUAUCACUAAUUUUAGAUAUUGUCUUAUUUUGGGGAUAUUAUCAUUAAUUAGGGAAUAUUGUAAUCUAAUAGACUAAUUAAGAGUAGUGUGAGGGUUUAGGGACCCACUAGUGUAGUGUUUUGGAGCAAUUGCUCCCAUGGAGUUGUCUCCUAUGGUUGCCAAGGGCAAAUCAAGGACCUCGAAGCCAUUUCCAGGUCUAUCAUGGGCCUCUUUUGUAGACCCCGGUGUGGUUGGGUAAGCUUUUCAACUUCAACCGUGUUUUCUUUUCUUUCUUUUUCUUUUUCUUUUUUUUUUUAGAUUCCUUUUCUUUUAUAAAAAUACCCAAUUUCUUAUGAAUUAUCUAAUAGGGUAAUUUUCAUUUUAGUACCUUGACAGUGUGUUGGAUGAAGUAGUUCUAAUUUCCAUAGAAACUGUAAAUGAUGGGAAUUCCAAUUACAUCAUUUAAAAUUCCGUCAGUUGCACAUUUCAGUGUUUGAAUGUCAUGUAUGUGGAAUGUAAGAAAUUACAGAAAUUACAAUUUCACAUGUUUAGAUACUCAUAAGAGAAUUAGAAUUUAAUUAGAAGUAACAACAUUUUUUUGUCUUCAACAAUAUGGUAUUUUCUGCGUAUAAUUUGGCAAAUCCUGAGUUGAUUUUUCCAAACGUUGAAUUUUCCCUUUUCCAUGCUUUAAAUCCCACCUUUUGUGAAAAUCCCGAGUUAUUUUACCUCAUUCAAAUACACUGUAGUACACAGAGUUUCACCCUUAAUACAUGAUGUUUUUUGGUAGGGAAUAAAAAAAAAUGUGGCACCAUGCUAUUUGUAGUUAAUAUUAAAUGUUAUUAUAUUUUUAUUUCUACAUGAAAAAUAGAAAGAGAAAACGUAUAAAAGCUCCCACGAGCUUCCUGCUUCCUCCUCAAUCUUGUCUUCCCCCUUCUGUAUUUUCGUUUCACUUUAUGCCACGCAUAUGGCAUAAAAUGAGGAAUAAAAAAAGGCAAGAUGUGAAGGAAGUUAACAUUAAUGAGGAAUAAAAAAAGGCAAGAUGUGAAGGAAGUUAACAUUCUUGUAAAUAAAAUUUGUUUCUUU